GCACUUAUAUCCGGACCUCACGGAACGGAUGCAGUUAUUAGAAUAAAACCAAGCAGGCUUGCCUGCCAUUUGGUGAAUCUGAAUAACGCAGCUGAUCGCAUGGUCUUCGCACCGGCGACAUAUCCUUCAAAUGUCUGCCUUAUCAACCGUCGAUGGUAGUUUAUGCGCCUACCAUGGUUGUAACGGGUAACGGAGAAUUAGGGUUCGACUCCGGAGAGGGAGCCUGAGAAACGGCUACCACAUCUAAGGAAGGCAGCAGGCACGCAAAUUACCCACUCUUGGCAAGAGGAGGUAGUGACGAAGAAUAACAGGACGGUCUCUUAUUGAGGCCCGUCACUGGAAUGAGUACAGUUUAAAUCCUUUAACGAGGAUCUAUUGGAGGGCAAGUCUGGUGCCAGCAGCCGCGGUAAUUCCAGCUCCAAUAGCGUAUAUUAAAGUUGUUGCGUUUAAAAAGCUCGUAGUUGAAUCUGCGUCCUUUGGUUGGCGGUCCCUUAACAGGUGUACUGCUUUACCAGGACCAAUUGUCCGGUUUUCCCUUGAUGCUCUUCACUGAGCGUCCUGGGUGGCUGGAGAGUUUACUUUGAAAAAAUCAGAGUGCUCAAAGCAGGCUUUUAGUCUGAAUGGUGGUGCAUGGAAUAAUGGAAUAAGACUUCGGUUUUAUUUUCAUGGCUUUCGAAUCUCGAGGUAAUGAUUAAGAGGGACAGACGGGGGCAUUCGUAUUGCAGCGUUAGAGGUGAAAUUCUUGGAUCGUUGCAAGACGUCCUACAGCGAAGGCAUUUGCCA
rnacentral:rRNA from 1 species